UACGACUACAUAUCAGGCAUAUCAAUAAGCGGAGGAAAAGAAACUAACAAGGAUUCCCUUAGUAACGGCGAGUGAAGCGGGAAGAGCUCAAAUUUGAAAUCUUCAAGGUUCUACCUUGACGAAUUGUAGUUUAAAGAAGUGUUUUCUGUUAGAGGAGUAGCAAAAGUUCCUUGGAAUGGGACAUCAUAGAGGGUGAGAAUCCCGUAUUUGGUUAUUCUUUCUAGCUUUGUGAUACACUUUCAAAGAGUCGGAUUGUUUGGGAAUGCAGUCCAAGAUGGGUGGUAAAUUUCAUCUAAAGCUAAAUAUAGGCGAGAGACCGAUAGCGAACAAGUACCGUGAGGGAAAGAUGAAAAGAACUUUGAAAAGAGAGUUAAACAGUACGUGAAAUUGUCAAAAGGGAGGCGUUUGACACCAGUGUUGUUUAGUUGAAAAUCAAUUCAAUAGUUUUUGAUUCUAAGUAGUAUUGACUUCAUCAGCUUGCUGCUUUCUUCUCAGAAAUUAUUGAAUGCACUUUUCAGUUAACAAGUCAACAUCAAUUUCUUUUGUUGUAAAAGGGUAAGAGGAAGGUGGCUUGCGCUUCGGCUCAAGUGUUUAUAGCCUUUUAUCUCUGCAAUCGGAGAGAUUGAGGUCUGCAGCGUAGAUCCUUAGGGGCUAGAUACACUUGUGCUAAGUUAUAGCUUUUCAUAGACAACUUGUUGACUAUGUUUAGUCAUGUAGCUUACCCGCUUGUACUAUUUUACCUACGCUUAGGAUGUUGAUCUACAGAGCGAGAGU
rnacentral:rRNA from 1 species